GGAGAGGUGCCCGAGUGGUCUAAGGGAGCGGUCUUGAAAACCGUCGUGGCGCAAGUCACCGUGGGUUCGAAUCCCACCCUCUCCGCCA
rnacentral:tRNA from 1 species